UACAGAGGUCUCAAGCGUUGUUCGGAUUCAUUGGGCGUAAAGGGUGCGUAGGCGGCGCGGUAAGUCGGGUGUGAAAUCUCGGGGCUUAACUCCGAAACUGCAUUCGAUACUGCCGUGCUCGAGUGCGAGAGAGGUCAGUGGAAUUGCAGGUGUAGCGGUGAAAUGCGUAGAUAUCUGCAGGAACACCCGUGGCGAAGGCGGCUGACUGGAUCGCAACUGACACUGAGGAACGAAAGCUAGGGGAGCAAACAGG
rnacentral:rRNA from 1 species